GUGGAGAAAUCGACUGAGCAUUAAAGUGAGUGAACAAAGAGAAGUCCCGGAAGCGACCGCCAAUGCCACUCAGACCUGCAUCUAGAGACUCUGCUGGGUCUGGCUGUGAGGGUGCAGGCUGCUCCAGCCUGCCUCCCAAGGAAAAGAGCUCAAGUAAAUAAUUGAUGGAGAUUGAUCGGACCUGAGACAAAGCUUUGCAGGAAGCCAAUGCAUCCGAUUUUAAGCGGUCUUUCAGUCUUCUGCCAAGUACAGGAAAUGGAAAUGCAGAGGGGAAUUUGAUGAGCCAGGCUGAUAAUUCUGCAUCUCGGGCGUGGCUCUGGUCUUUUUGUCUUUUUGCCUCCCACCCGCUACCCCUGUCCCCGUUCUUCUCUUUCCUCUUUAAGCAUCCACUCCGGCUGGCUACUUCUCUCCUGUCCUUCCUUCAAUCCCGCCCUCUUUCCAGCCCAGUCCGGUGAGGUCAGCUCAUGAAUACCGCUGCACUUACUGGGGAGAGUCGGGCACUGCUUGGCACCACGAGUAUUGCCUGCUGCAUUUGCAGACCAACCAGCCAAAGCACCGCCGGCUAAGAAUCAACUCCCAGAGUUCUGAGUCUUUGUGGUUGUCGCCUUUGUUCUGAGAAACCGAGUGGGUGUGGAUCCCGUGCAAGCAAGCGUGCCCAGAGAGAAAUUCGCCUAUAACACUACGAAGUUGAACUUUCUUUGAAAGGUAGAAAAAUAAACUCCGAGGUCUCCGGAAGACCAGGAAGAAGGCAGUGUUGUUGGUUUGCUUGCACCAACUUUCUGGAAGCAAAAGCCACUACAGAGAAGUGAGAUCUUCUGGAUUUCUAAAGAGAUGACGAUGAGAAACGGGGACAAAGAGAGUUGAAAAGAGGUUACAGAGGGAGAAAGAAAGGUGGAGAAGGAGUUUUGGCUUACACAGGAAGGUUGGUGGCAGAAAGAAGAGGAUGAUCUAGAGAUGGACGCUUCCAAGUGGCAUCCAGUAGGUUCUUUCUAGACUGCCAUGAGUCAGCUACCGUCCGGGGGCGCUGCCCCAUCUGCAACCUCAGCUUCUGCUGCCGCUGCAGCCACGGAGGCUCGCAUGCACCCGGAGGGCAGCAGCAGAAAGCAGCAGCGAGCUCAGUCACCUGCUAGGCCUAGGGACAAUUCUCUUCGACAGACCGCCGGGCCCACGCGGUCCCCGCUUGGGGUCGGCCCUAAACUCAAUUCUGUUCGGCAGCAGCAGCUGCAGCAGCAGCAACAACAGGGUAACAAGAUAACCGGUCGGGGCACCUCCAGCACCGGAUCUAGAGGAUUCGGAGGCGGGGCGGAAAAGGCGGUGCCCUCUGUACCCAAAGGGGCUGCUCCCGGAGCUGUCCAGCCCGCGCCUGGUGCUGAAGGGUCCCCCGCGGCGUUCCUGGCUGCUGUGAGCUGCAGGAGGUCCGGACAAGCAGAGGAGCCACCCAGGGAGAUAGAAUCCGGGUCCUCGAAAGUCGGGAAACCCCCUCCGCUCGGAGGAGUAGGAGGGGGCGGGGAAGGAGGAGGAGCCGGUGGUGGCCCGGGGGACCGGGAGGGCGGCGCUCCGCAGCCGCCGCUGCCACCCAGGGGUUGGCGAGGGAAAGGCGUCCGCGCCUCGCAGAGGGGUAGCAGCGGCGGAGAGGGAGUAUUCCCUUCAGCAGCCACCGCUGCUUCGAGUAAAACCCCCGGCCCAGGUAGCAGAAACUCUGGUAGCGGCGGCACAGGGAGCAGCAGCGGUGGUGGCGGAAGCUACUGGAAGGAGGGAUGUCUACAAUCUGAGCUCAUCCAGUUCCAUCUCAAGAAGGAGCGGGCGGCAGCGGCAGCGGCCGCGGCCGCAGCUCAGAUGCACACUAAAAACGGUGGCGGCGGUAGCCGCAGUUCCCCGGUCGCCGGCGCUCCUGCCAUCUGUGAGCCCCUUGUGGUCCCCUCUUCCUCCCCAAUGGCGGCUGCAGCCGAGGGCCCCCAGCAGAGCGCAGAGGGCAGCGGCAACAGCGGGGCCAUGCAGGCCGCUGCUCCCCCUUCGUCUCAGCAGCUCCAAGAGCAAGAAGAUAUGCAGGAGGAGAUGGAGAAGCUGCGGAAAGAGAACGAGACUCUAAAGAACGAGAUCGAUGAGCUGAGGACCGAAAUGGACGAGAUGAGAGAUACUUUCUUCGAGGAGGAUGCCUGUCAACUGCAGGAAAUGCGCCAUGAAUUGGAGAGAGCCAACAAAAACUGCCGGAUUCUGCAGUACCGCCUCCGCAAAGCCGAGCGCAAAAGGCUCCGCUACGCGCAGACUGGGGAAAUUGAUGGCGAGCUGUUGCGCAGCCUGGAGCAAGAUCUCAAGGUUGCAAAGGAUGUAUCUGUAAGACUUCACCAUGAAUUGGAAAAUGUGGAAGAAAAAAGGACGACAACAGAAGAUGAAAAUGAGAAACUGAGGCAGCAGCUUAUAGAAGUUGAAAUUGCAAAGCAAGCCUUACAGAAUGAACUGGACAAAAUGAAGGAGUUAUCCUUGAAAAGAAGAGGAAGUAAAGAUUUGCCAAAAUCUGAAAAAAAGGCUCAACAGACACCCACAGAGGAUGACAAUGAGGAUCUCAAGUGCCAGCUACAGUUCGUUAAGGAAGAAGCCGCCCUGAUGAGAAAGAAAAUGGCCAAGAUUGAUAAAGAAAAGGACAGAUUUGAGCACGAACUCCAGAAGUACAGAUCCUUUUAUGGAGAUCUAGACAGUCCUCUACCCAAAGGAGAAGCAGGAGGACCUCCGAGCACCAGGGAGGCUGAGCUCAAGUUGAGGCUCCGGCUGGUGGAGGAAGAGGCCAACAUCCUGGGCAGGAAAAUCGUGGAACUGGAGGUGGAGAACAGAGGCUUGAAGGCGGAACUGGAUGACCUGCGGGGCGAAGACUUCAAUGGCUCUUCCAACCCCCUCAUGAGGGAGCAGAGCGAGUCCUUAUCAGAGCUGAGACAGCACCUGCAGCUGGUGGAAGACGAGACCGAGCUGUUGCGGAGGAACGUGGCUGACCUCGAGGAGCAAAACAAACGCAUCACUGCGGAGCUCAACAAGUACAAGUACAAGUCCAGUGGCCAUGACAGCUCGCGGCACCAUGACAGCGCCAAAACCGAGGCUCUGCAGGAGGAGUUGAAGGCUGCGCGCCUGCAAAUCAACGAGCUGAGCGGCAAGGUCAUGCAGCUGCAGUAUGAGAACCGCGUGCUCAUGUCCAACAUGCAGCGCUAUGAUCUGGCCUCACACCUGGGUAUCCGUGGCAGCCCUCGCGACAGUGAUGCUGAGAGCGAUGCAGGCAAAAAGGAGAGCGACGAUGACUCCAGGCCUCCCCAUCGCAAGCGCGAGGGGCCAAUCGGUGGCGAGAGCGACUCAGAGGAGGUGCGGAACAUCCGUUCCCUCACGCCCACCCGCUCCUUCUACCCCACACCCGGGCCCUGGCCCAAGAGCUUCUCAGAUCGGCAGCAGAUGAAAGACAUCCGCUCCGAGGCCGAGCGACUGGGCAAGACCAUCGAUCGGCUCAUCGCAGACACAAGCACCAUCAUCACAGAGGCACGCAUCUAUGUGGCUAAUGGGGACCUGUUUGGACUGAUGGACGAGGAGGAUGACGGCAGUCGCAUCCGGGAGCAUGAGCUGCUCUACCGCAUCAACGCGCAGAUGAAAGCCUUCCGCAAGGAGCUGCAGACCUUCAUUGACCGCCUGGAGGUGCCCAAGUCUGCAGAUGACCGUGGAGCAGAGGAGCCCAUAUCCGUGAGUCAGAUGUUCCAGCCUAUCAUUCUGCUUAUUCUCAUCCUUGUCUUAUUCUCGUCCCUGUCUUACACAACAAUAUUUAAACUUGUCUUCCUUUUUACACUGUUUUUUGUACUGUAAAUUUUCCAUCAUUUGCUGUUCAUUGUAGUGUUUUCAGUUUUUAUUUUGUCCACCCUUCAAGACAAGACAUAAAAGAAGUAUCAUUUCUGUAGUAACUGAUGCUGUAAAAAACAAAAACCAAAACAAACAAACAAAAACACUGAAGACUGCAUAUCUCUGUAAAAAGACACAACUCAUCUUACACUGUCAAAUUCACUGGGAAAUCCCAGCAACCAAAGUGUUUCAGGUUCUUUUGUAGGAAACUAGUACUUAGGGUUGGGAAGAAAAGUUUAAGAAGAUGGUGCCCAAGACCUGUGAGAGUUCCCAGCAUGCCCUUCUCCUGAGCACCUCACUCUGCUCCACCAUCCCUCACACUUCCCUGCCUGUGUCUCUGACCUCAUUACAGCGUUAUUUUUGUUACUUUGUUCAGUGUGCAGUUAUUUCAUUUUUGCUGGUUUUAAAUGUUCAACCUCACAAAAUCUCCCAGUUGUUGAGACAAGGAAUCUUCUACUCCUACUUUCAAAGCUUUGUUAUUUAAAGGACAUGCUGGAGAUAAUUUUUUAAAGCAAAAAUUAUUAUAGACAAUUCCCUUUGAAGGCACUUUCUUGGUCAUAGUCUUGGUGAAUUUAGCCUUAGGUUUAAGAAAAACAGGAAUCUGCUUGGUUAUUUUUAAAUAAAAAUAACUGAAAUUCAUUAAGCAAAGAAGUUUUGGUCCAAUCCAGGAAUGUGCAGUUUAUGUGGUAGACUGGGAUGUGGCUAUUUAAUUGUCUACCAUUGAAGUUUGGAAUGUAAGCCUUAAUUCCAACACUCUAUGCCAUGUCUUAGCUUCAUUCUUCUAGAGUCAGUCUCUCUCCUAGAGUCAGCAUCCCCUGGUAGAAUCAGGCUCUAACUGGCUGUAGGGAAUAAACAGGAAGUGGUAGAGGGUAGUAUUAAAAUGUGACGAAAGUUAACUGUUUAUUAAAAUAAUGGAAUUUGGUACAAUUCAAAAACAUUAUACAUAAAGAUAUAUCUGUUCAAGCCCUCUUUACAAGAGAGAAAAGGGUACAGGGAGAUAGCAGUUUUGAAUCUGUAAUCUGGUUUGGAGUAGGUAAGAUGGUUUCAUAUACACUUUGAUGACAGUGUACCCCAGUAUUCCCAUGACACUUGAAAAAUUUCAGAGAGAAACACAAGAAGGAUACUUCACAUUCUGAAUACACCUUGAUGAAUGUGGUAGCAUCCACAUGCUCCUACAUAGUGCUUUUGUGUCAACAGUUAGGAGGGUGAGGAGGUACGAGUGGCUAUUUUUCAUGAUGGUCAUUCUGGAAGUUUUUGGAGCCAUAGACUCAAAUGGUUCCUGCUAUAUAACCUAGUACAUUUCCAUCAAUACCUUCUCUGAUAGAUAGAUAGAUAGAUAGAUAGAUAGAUAGAUAGACAGACAGACAGACAGAUGGGGAUAUAUAUAUAUAUGUAUAUGUAUACAUAUAUAUACAUAUAUAUAUAUAUACAUAUAUACAUAUAUGGGUUUUUUUGUAUAUCAACCCCAAAACUCAGUUCUGUGUAGUUUUUCUUUUUCAUGACUACCUAUAGUUUUGCUUUGUUUUUUUAAAAACAUCUCUGAAAUUUCAUUUAUACUAUUAAAUCUUGAACAGAAAAUAAACACCUUUAAAAUAGAUUAGCUAUGUAGACUUUCCAAGGUAGGUUUUUUUUUACAUGACAAAGUACUGAAACUAAUUUAUUCUGGAGUUUAGGUGGGCCCUAGGCAUCUGAACGCCAUCAUUAGGAGGUGUUUCAUCCACUGGGGUUAGGGCUACCACUUGGAGGGCCAUCCCAUUGUUCUCACAGGCUUGGACUCUAUUUGGGUGAAGAAGGCACAAUGACGAAGGCAAAGGACAGAGUUGGCAGGAGUUGAGCACCUUCCUUGUCUUGCCUCACAGUAUUGCUCUGGGAGCACACUACCAGAGAUAAACUCAUAUUUCUGAUCAUCCUGACUUUAGAAGGAAUGCAAUUGGUUCCAAAAUAGGUCCAUUUCUCAAAUAUGUUAUUAUUUUACUAGAAUUUGGACUAGAAUUUAAAAUAAAAUUUGAUAGUUCAAAAGUGUUUCUUUGGACUAUUUCUUACAUCUGGAAGUAGGUAUGUAUAAACCCCAUAACUGAUCUGCUUGUUUGAAAUUACUGAAGUUUUAGAAAGUCUGUAGAUUCAAAUUAUCACUGUGGGUUCCAAAUAACUGCAGUAGAAAAAGCAAAGCUUUAGGGAUAUGAUUGUGCAAACUAUUCCAAAAGCAUCAAGAACCAUGGCUAUACUAUAAGGAUCAGACAGACAGGUUGACAGGUAUACAAAGUGCCUACUGACUUCAUCAGAUACUGAAAUAUCUCUUUAUUAAAUGCCAUGACAUUUUCAUUUCUCUUUUUUAUGGACUUCUGAGACGUUUGCAGACAAGGUUUGAGGGUAUCAUGUUUCCAAGCUUAUGUGGGCUCACUGAGAUAUCUUGACCUUGGGGAAUGAGUCUGGCAGCUGUAGAAGUUUUCUAAUUACUCCGAGCGAGGUGUGACCUCAGGCCUCUCUUCCAUCACUAGGACUUUCUCACCAACAAUGCCACAAUUCUUCCCACUCUCCACGAUGGCCUCAGAAUCUCGCUCCUAGCCCUGCUUCUUCCUCUCCAGUCCUUGCUCUCUUUCUCACCCAUGACAUAUAAGUGAAGCAGGUAACUAUCCUAUGCUCCCUGCUGGUCCCUUCUAGUCUCCUCUAUAUGGUGGGGAUUCUCUUUUUAUGUGCUGGCUGUGAAGAACCAGCAAUUGGCUUCUUAUAUCAGUACCAUUGUAGCAGACAACUUUUGGAAACAUAAUGCUAUUGCUUGUGGAAUAACCACUUUUUUAGAACACUGGAUUAUUUCCUGCUCCUCCAAAUCACUUCCUAAAUGGCUGGGCCUCAGAACAAGCAAAGAGAAGUGACUCAGGUUUGCCAUCUAGUGGCAAACACUAAAUAGACAGCCUUAGCAGAAUGCCCUUGUUAUUUUGAUUCUUUUUGUCAUGAAUCUGUAAAUAAUAGAAUUAGAUGCUAAACAUCAAUUUGAAAAACUUAAAGGGAUGUCUUUUUCUAAUUUUAAAUAACACACAUUUCUCAAAUACAUUGUUAUUUUACUCAGAAUUUGACUAGGAUUUAAAAUAAAAUUGGACAGUUCCAAAAUGUUUCUUCAGACUACUUUCUUCCAUCUGGAAGUGCCUAUGUAUGAGGCCCAUGACGGAUCUGCUUGGCUAAAAUAUCUAUUGUCAUGUCACCAGACCUCAGAAUAGAAGAAUCCAGCGCCCCAACACUGGGGAAAAAGUGCAGUAGCUGAAAUGGAAUAGUCUAAGUAUGUACCUUCUAAGGGAAAAUGUCCUUGGUGUAGCUAUCCCAACUUUUACCCAGUCAGACCUUCAUAUGCCUCAAAGUCUUAUUCUCUUAACACACACUUAAAGCUCUGCUUUUCUAGGAUGCAGAGAACAUAAGACCACAUUUUACGGUGACAGGAGAGUCUACCCUGGAUGAACUGAUUGAAAAAGUUCAAAGUGCUGGAACAUCCUAGUUUUCAAUAGUUCAGUACAAACCUCUGAGCAGUGCCUGCUUGUAACACUGAACUGAAUCCCUGGGUGGAAUGCUGUGCUUAAUAACAAGAAAAGGGACUUGAGGAGUUGUGCUGCAGACCCCAUUUCUUCAACUCCUCACAGUAGCUUUUGGAAUUCAUGGAUUUGUCUUAUUCUACAAAUCCCCCAAGUGUGGCCUGGAAUGUUGUUGUUGUUCAUCAAUGUUUUAUAAAUGAAAUAUUAACUGAAAUGCCUCAGAUCUGUCUUUCUUUAAAAAAGUGGAGAUACUUUAAAAUUGAAGAGCUCAGCUGAACAGUGAGGUCACAUUCCUUAAAGAAACUAUACAAGGCAGACAUUGUUCUGGAAGGAAGGAUGAGUGGUGGUGGCCCAUGCCUUUAAUCUCAGCACUGGACAGGCAGGUUCAGGGCCAGCCUGGUCUACAUAGUGAGUACCAGGAUGGCCAGAGCUACAAAGAGAAACACUAUCUUAAGAAACAAAACAAAACAACCAGCAACAUCGAAAAGUUUUCAGUGGAAGGAAUGACUAUAUAAAGCAUGUUUCUUACAGUAUGGACUCCAACUUUAGCAUGAAAAGAAUGAGUUCCUUUUCCUCCAACUUUAUUCUGUGCUCUUGAUUAUUUUCAAGAUAAUUGAUUAUUUCAAGAUCUUGAUUAUUGUCAUUUUUAAAGGCCACAGAAAUGCAUUGUAAAUAUUAUUGAAUGGUAAGGAAGGAAGAAAAACCGUACAAGCAUGAACUCAGAUAUUCCCAGUCUUAUAGCAGCCAGAGUUGUCUUAGCUUGAAGAGCAGAGGUGAGAGUGCAGACUUGAGACAUCAGCCCUCACAUAUGCUGCAUAUGUUGACAUAGGGCACCCAGUCUCCACUGCUAUGCUGUGCAUUACCAGCUUCAGGACAGUUCUAACCCUGCCUCCCAUCUCUCCAUGGAAUUGCUAGGGUCACAGGUACACACCACCUCACUCAGCUUUGUGCAUUGCUUUCAGGGAUGGAAGCAGGUCCAUUAAGAUUAUGUGACUAAAGCUAUUACCCAUUGAGCCAUCGCCCCAGGCUUCAAGUCUCUUUAUCUGAUUAGCAAAAUAAACUCUCAGCUAUAUGGUGUUUUAUGACAUACUUGACAGAUAGACUAUUGCCUCCAUUGAUUAAACACAGAAAGAAUUUGACAGAGCCACAAGCCAGCAUCUUAUUCCCCAGUCACAGCCAGCAUCCUUAUCCCUGAUCUUGAUUCUUGUGUCUUGACUUGGUUGGAAUUUUAAAUUUCACAGUGCUGCUGCACUGGGAAUGAGAGAACCAGGAUUCUAUUCUUGGUGUAAUUAGUGACCUUGAACAGAUGAUCUCAAGACAGGGUCUCCCCUUUCACUGUAAACUGAGAAGGUUAACUAGAUGACCUCAGAGGCUCUUUUUGGCUUUAAAUUCAGUGAGUCUGGAAACAACAGCUAGUGUCAUUUAUGUGUUCAGUAUCUUUCUUCUACUUUCCCAAAAUGUUCUAACUUGUGGCUAGUGUUAUCACAAGUACAAAUGUUUUUAAACCUUUUUAAAUAAUUUGUUGUAUUGUUUCUUAAUACUAUCUGCUCUUUCUCUAUUAACUCCUAUUAAGUAUUGUGUAUAUUCUGUUACACUUUGAAAUUGGAUUAGCAGGCAUGAAAUUGUGAGUGUGAAAAUUUUUCUAAAAUGGAGAGCAAUAAUUUGAGUGUGUUUAUUAUUUUGAGAUGAAUUAAAAUGUUCAAAUGGCUUAUAAAUCAUCUGCAUUGCACAAUAAAUGACAUGUUUUCUA